rnacentral:lncRNA from 1 species
UAAAACAGCGGUUGAGGAACUUGAGGGGUUACGUGGACGAGAUGAAGAUUUCCAAGGAAGACUGUCAGCAUUAUUGUACAACCCUACAUGGCUACUUCGAAGAUCUGGAUGGUAAAACCAAGCCUGCCUCCGUUGGAGAGGGAUACUGGGUCAAAUGCCAAUGCAUGGUGUCCAGGAACUCAGAGAUCUCAUCGAAAAAACAUUGGGACCCCAGGAGGCUCGACAGUACGGGUUUCUCAACUUCAUCGGACAAACGCAGAAAGGGCGUGCACGGUUGGCGCGAUUGGCCGGGGAUAAGAAAAUCAAAUUUCUCGCUUACAACGAACCGGAACUUUUGGCCCAGGCGAAAAGAGCCGAGGAGCUCAGCCGUCAGCUAUCAGAAGCGAAAAGAGCCACGCUGGCAAGACAGAUGUCGGGAGCGAAUAAAAUCGCGGAGCUCCAGGCGCAAGUACAAGCAUUGCAGAGGGACGCCGAUCAACUCAGGAUAAAAGUGGCGCAACCCGGCGGGAAAGAGUGCGCACUCGGCAGGCAGAAUUCGGGGACGCGAAUGGAGGCAGAGGAACACGCGAGACAAUUGUCAGAUGCAAGACGAGAAAUUGACGCGCUUAAGAAGCAAUUGUUAGCCUCGAGGAAGGAGGCGGCAGACCUCAGGAAGGAACUGAAAGAUUCCCGGAGUGAGGUCAAACAGCUAAGAGAUCAGCUGUCGCAGAAGCAAAAAGAGGCUGCGGACACCCAGCGACACCUGGCGGAGUCCAGGGAAGAAGCCGCGCGACUAAGAGCUCAGUUGUCGGAGAUGGAAAAAGAAGCGCUGAAAUUAAAAAAGGUGUUGAAAACGACAAAAAAGGUAUUCAGUGACUGGAAGAAUAAGUUGUUGAAGAAGGGGAGCGCGGUAAAAGGGACCGAAGCCCAGCUGAAAGAAGUUCAACAAAAAGCCGACAACUUUCACGAGCAGUUGAUAAAGUCGAAUAACCAAUCCGCCGAACUUGAAAGGGAGUUAUCGGACUUGACGAUGGAGCUUGCUGAAAUCGAGGAAAAACUGAAGCAGGAGAGGAAUAAAACUAGACAACUGAGGUGGGAGCUCGAGGAAUCAAGAAAAGAAACCGAAGCAAUCAGGGAUGAAUGGUGGAAGGCGGCAAAUCAAGUGGCAAGCCUCGAAGUGAUCCAGAACGAUGCGAGAAGAACGACUGCUCGAACCGACAAAAAAGAUUCAAAAUCUCCAAUAAGAAGCGCCGCAAGACAUUAUGAACUUCCUGGAGAGUAUUUGAUUGACAAAAUCGAUUGCUAUAACUACUACUCUACUAUACUUUAAUCGACUAGAUCGAUUACUAGAUCCGGAGGUCUGCUAGAUCAGUUGUUGCUAGAUUCGGAGGUCUACUAGAUCAGUUACUAAAUGCGGAGCUCUAGUAGAUCAGUUACUAGAUCCGGAGGUCUACUAGAUCAGUUGCUGGAUCCGGAGCUUUACUACAUCGGUUACUAGAUCCGGAGCUCUUAUGUGUGCCAGGAAUUUGCAAUUUAGACACUGGUUCCUAUGUAAAAUUUCGCUAGAAACACGAUAGUGCCCCUGGUUUUCUCUGAAAUCAACUCCAAAGCUAAGAAAAAUCUCUCAAAGUUGAGGCCGUAAUAGAGGGGAUAUUCCACGCUACCCUGAGCCUGAGAGCCCACCUUUAUCUCAAGACGAACUCUCUCCGCAAAAAUAGGGAGCAAGUACAUUGGCAGGGUUGUCGUGUUUUCAGCCUUUGAGUCCUCAAACAAAGUGGCAACCCUGCUAACGUAUCUUUGCAUGGAGGGUUUUUCUUGAUAUAGGGGUGGACUCCCAGGGUAGCGUGGGAUAUCCCCUCUAUUACGGCCUAAACUUUUGAGAGUUUUUUUUGAGCUUUGGAGUUGAUUUCAGAGAAAACAAGUGGCACUAUCGUGUUGCUCGCGAAUCGCAAAUCCCGCACGCAUGUAAGAGCUUCAUUCUUACAGCGUAUACGAUUCGGAACAUACAACUUUUUAAACUUCCCGGAUAUGCGUGAAGUAUCCUGAAAAAUGAAGGCAUUUGAAAGAUCGGAUUGACACUACGAAAGGCGUGUGACUAGUGCUCUGUUGCAUUCGUAACCGUCUAAGCUAUAACAUUUUCCACUAGACUUCAAGAUUUUGGACCUUCUAACCCAACUUCUGAAACGAGUUCUUUUGAAGUUUAGAUGGACAUUUAGGCCGAAAAUUACACUUUUGUAAAUAUCGUUCAUUUCUUCCUCGAUAAUAGAAUUUUUUUAAAAAUCGGAUUUGUUUUUAUACAGGGUGAUCCAAAAGUCCCUUCCACCCCCUCUAACUUUUUACCUAAUUGAGGUAAAGAUUUGAAACUUGGGGGAUAUUCCUAGGGCAAAUGGGGCUACUUUUUGGCCCCCUUAAAUUUUCAGGGGGGCUCCCCUUGGGGGGGCAACGGCCCCCAACUUUCAAUUUUCAAAUGGGAAGACCCCCUUUGUGAUAGCUCGUUCGAAAGAGCAUAAAAAAAGAAAACUUUUCGCGCAAACCCGAAGUCAAUA